rnacentral:rRNA from 1 species
AACGAACGCUGGCGGCAUGCCUAACACAUGCAAGUCGAACGAGACCUUCGGGUCUAGUGGCGCACGGGUGCGUAACGCGUGGGAACCUGCCCUUAGGUUCGGAAUAACUCCCCGACAGGGGUGCUAAUACCGGAUAAUGUCUUCGGACCAAAGAUUUAUCGCCUUUGGAUGUGCCCGCGUUGGAUUAGCUAGUUGGUAGGGUAAAAGCCUACCAAGGCGACGAUCCAUAGCUGGUCUGAGAGGAUGAUCAGCCACACUGGGACUGAGACACGGCCCAGACUCCUACGGGAGGCAGCAGUGGGGAAUAGUGGACAAUGGGCGAAAGCCUGAUCCAGCAAUGCCGCGUGAGUGAUGAAGGCCUUAGGGUUGUAAAGCUCUUUUACCCGGGAUGAUAAUGACAGUACCGGGAGAAUAAGCUCCGGCUAACUCCGUG